UACGGGGGGAGCAAGCGUUGUUCGGAUUUACUGGGCGUAAAGGGUGCGUAGGCGGUCAGCACAGGUCAGUUGUGAAAUCUCCGGGCUUAACUCGGAAAGGUCAACUGAUACUGUGCGACUAGAGUGCGGAAGGGGCAACUGGAAUUCUCGGUGUAGCGGUGAAAUGCGUAGAUAUCGAGAGGAACACCUGCGGCGAAGGCGGGUUGCUGGGCCGACACUGACGCUGAUGCGCGAAAGCCAGGGGAGCGAACGGG
rnacentral:rRNA from 1 species